rnacentral:rRNA from 1 species
GAAGGCUCUUGGGUCGUAAACCUCUUUUCUCAAGGAAGAAGAAAGUGACGGUACUUGAGGAAUAAGCAUCGGCUAACUCCGUGCCAGCAGCCGCGGUAAUACGGAGGAUGCAAGCGUUAUCCGGAAUGAUUGGGCGUAAAGGGUCUGCAGGUGGAACUGAAAGUCUGCUGUUAAAGAGUUUGGCUUAACCAAAUAAAAGCGGUGGAAACUACAGAACUAGAGUGCGGUAGGGGCAAAAGGAAUUCCUGGUGUAGCGGUGAAAUGCGUAGAUAUCAGGAAGAACACCGGUGGCGAAAGCGUUUUGCUAGACCGUAACUGACACUGAGGGACGAAAGCUAGGGGAGCGAAUGGGAUUAGAUACCCCAGUAGUCCUAGCCGUAAACGAUGGAUACUAGGCGUGGCUUGUAUCGACCCGAGCCGUGCCGGAGCUAACGCGUUAAGUAUCCCGCCUGGGGAGUACGCACGCAAGUGUGAAACUCAAAGGAAUUGACGGGGGCCCGCACAAGCGGUGGAGUAUGUGGUUUAAUUCGAUGCAACGCGAAGAACCUUACCAAGACUUGACAUCCUGCGAAUCCCGGUGAAAGCUGGGAGUGCCUUAGGGAGCGCAGAGACAGGUGGUGCAUGGCUGUCGUCAGCUCGUGUCGUGAGAUGUUGGGUUAAGUCCCGCAACGAGCGCAACCCUCGUUUUUAGUUGCCAGCAUUAAGUUGGGCACUCUAGAGAGACUGCCGGUGACAAACCGGAGGAAGGUGAGGAUGACGUCAAGUCAGCAUGCCCCUUACGUCUUGGGCUACACACGUACUACAAUGCUACGGACAGAGGGCAGCGAGCCAGGGAUGGCAAGCGAAUCCAGAAACCGUAGCUCAGUUCAGAUCGAAGGCUGCAACUCGCCUUCGUGAAGGAGGAAUCGCUAGU